rfam:Leersia perrieri chromosome 3, whole genome shotgun sequence.
AGAAAGGCUUCUCUUGAAGCCUCCAAGUUUCUUAAGAACAUCAACU